UGGGGCGUCGACAAGCGGUAAGUCAACAGCCUUUGAAGCUGUCAUCCCUGGUUCGAAUCCAGGCGCCCCAA
rnacentral:tRNA from 1 species